CCAGGCGAGCAGGGGAAGAGAGCAGCAAGACGCGUGGAGACGCAGCCCGCGCCCGCAGCUGUGGAGACGCGGGGCCCCAGGAGGCAGAGCAAAGAACGCAGCAGCGACAGGAGACCCUCUGAGAAGACUUGAGCACAAUUAAAAGAAUUCUGCCUCUGACCAUGAAGAAAGGCCUGAGAAUCCCUUUGAUGACUAGACAAACAGAAUUGACUGCGCAUAGAACAGCCCUUGCUUAUGGAAAUCCAAGCUCCACACCUCUUACUAAAUGAAGUGAUAAAGACUCUGAGUUCACCUCCUCCAGGAAGGAUUCCCUGUAUGCCAUCCUCCACUGGGCUCUAUUACAGCACAGGCAACUUGACUGGAAACAGUUCAGUUAACUACUGCAUUAAAAAGUCACUUGUUGGGGCCGGCCGAGUGGCAAAUUGGUUAAGAGUUGGCUUGGGACGC